UGGGGAAUAUUGGACAAUGGGGGCAACCCUGAUCCAGCGACGCCGCGUGUGUGAAGAAGGCCUGCGGGUUGUAAAGCACUUUCGGUGGGAACGAAAUAUGCCGGGCUAAUACCCCGGUAGGCUGACGUUACUCAAUGAAGAAGCACCGGCUAACUCUGUGCCAGCAGCCGCGGUAAUACAGAGGGUGCGAGCGUUAAUCGGAAUUACUGGGCGUAAAGCGCACGUAGGUGGCUGUGUAAGUCGGGUGUGAAAUCCCCGGGCUCAACCUGGGAACUGCAUUCGAGACUGCAUGGCUGGAGUACGGAAGAGGAAGGCGGAAUUCCCGGUGUAGCGGUGAAAUGCGUAGAUAUCGGGAGGAACAUCAGUGGCGAAGGCGGCCUUCUGGUCCAGUACUGACACUCAAGUGCGAAAGCGUGGGGAGCAAACAGGAUUAGAUACCCCCGUAGUCCCUGAGCGGGCUGGCAAGGCGCAU
rnacentral:rRNA from 1 species